rnacentral:rRNA from 1 species
GAUGAACGCUAGCGGCAGGCCUAACACAUGCAAGUCGAGGGAGAAGCCCUUUCGGGGGCAGAAACCGGCGCACGGGUGCGUAACGCGUAUGCAACCUACCUUUCACAGGGGGAUAGCCCGAAGAAAUUUGGAUUAAUACCCCAUAAUAUUAUUGGAUGGCAUCAUUUGAUAAUUAAAACUGCGGUGGUGAAAGCUGGGCAUGCGUCCUAUUAGCUAGUUGGAGUGGUAACGGCACCCCAAGGCUACGAUAGGUAGGGGUCCUGAGAGGGAGAUCCCCCACACUGGUACUGAGACAGGGACCAGACUCCUACGGGAGGCAGCAGUGAGGAAUAUUGGUCAAUGGUCGGAAGACUGAACCAGCCAUGCCGCGUGCAGGAAGAAUGCCUUAUGGGUUGUAAACUGCUUUUAUAUGGGAAGAAUAAGGCGUACGUGUACGUUGAUGACGGUACCAUAUGAAUAAGCAUCGGCUAACUCCGUG